rnacentral:rRNA from 1 species
AUUGAACGCUGGCGGCAUGCUUUACACAUGCAAGUCGAACGGUAACAGGCCUUCGGGUGCUGACGAGUGGCGAACGGGUGAGUAAUGCAUCGGAACGUGCCCAGAGGUGGGGGAUAACGCAGCGAAAGCUGUGCUAAUACCGCAUGUGAUCAGAGGAUGAAAGCGGGGGACCAAGCAGCAAUGUUUGGCCUCGCGCCUCUGGAGCGGCGGAUGUCAGAUUAGUUAGUAGGUGGGGUAAAGGCAUACCAAGCAGACGAGCUGUAGCUGGUCUGAGAGGUGGACCGGCCACACUGGGACAGGACCACGGCCCACACUCCGACGGGAGGCCGCAGUGGGGAAUUUUGGACAAUGGGAGCAAGCCUGAUCCAGCAAUGCCGCGUGCGGGAAGAGGGCAUUCGGGUUGUAAACCGCUUGUGUACGGAACGAAAAGGCUCUUGCUAAGACCUGGAGCUGAUGACGGUACCGUAAGAAUAAGCACCGGCUAACUACGUG